CCCGGGCGACGACGGGUCGACGUAACCGGUACGUUAGUCGAACCUAACCCUAACCUAUACAACGUAGGGGGAUAACACUGAGAAAUUGGUACUAAUACCCCAUAAUAUCUCAUGCGGCAUCGCAUGGGGUUGAAAACUCCGGUGGUUGAUGAUGGGCAUGCGUUGUAUUAGCUGGUUGGUGAGGUAACGGCUCACCAAGGCGACGAUACAUAGGGGGACUGAGAGGUUAACCCCCCACAUUGGUACUGAGACACGGACCAAACUCCUACGGGAGGCAGCAG
rnacentral:rRNA from 1 species